rnacentral:lncRNA from 1 species
GACCUUGGUUUUCUUCUAGAUAGCAGCUGUCAGAAGGAAAAUAUUUCCUCUUUGCCUAUUAAGAUUUAGCUAUUAUCUGCCAGUUGUUAAGAGGUUUUGGUUCCAAAUUCAACCAGCAGUGUUGAGAGCUGAACUUAAGAUAGCUGUUGUACUUUUUGCUUUCCAUCUGUUUCCGCCCUUCAUUCUUGGCUCCCUACUAUCUAUAAACAUCUGCUGUGAAGGAGAAAAGUUCAAUAAGAGUUGGCUUAAAAAUUCUGUAAAAAAUAAAAUUGAGGUUUUAGAAUUGUCAUUGUAACAAGCUGAUAUAAUCUGAGGCUGACAAGGCAACUAAAUUUUGAAAAUUUAGAAAAUUUUGAAAAAGUAAAGAAUAUAUGAUGGUAAAUUAGAAGUAUUAGUAUUAAUUAAAAUAUUGUUUCUCUUAUUUCUCUAUUAUAUGUUAAGUGACUUGACCUAAUAAUUUUAUUUUUUUUUUAAACGUGUUCUUCUUUCUUGUAAUAUGAAUGGUGAUAUUUAAAGGUAAAUCUAUGUGGUUUUCUUUUGUGUUUCUUGUUUAUCUCUAAGCUAAGUCUUUAAGAUUAUUUGUGAUCUGGAUUUAUAUAUAAGCUGUUAAAUAUAUAUGAACUGUUAAAAUGGAAUGCAAGCUUUUCAAAAGCCCAGGUCUAAAUGUAAUGAUUGGUUUAUUGUUCUACAACCCCAGACCAUCAUUUUUCGUGUAAAUCAUAAACAAUAAACAGGAUAUACUCAGUGGUCAUUUCUAAUAUUUAAUCAUGUAGUCGUAUCACUUCUAUAACGUAACCUCCUCGAGGAUUUAGUUUUAAUAGCAAAGAACACAGGUCUUAACAGGAAGUCUGGAAUAGGCUCCUGAGCACGUGAUUUUAUAGUCCUUCUGCUGUGAUCCAAGAAGGAAGAGGCUAAAAGAGAACUCGGCUGUACGGAAGUGGUUG